GACGAACCGUCCCAAACGUUAUUCGGAAUUACUGGGCUUAAAGGGUGCGUAGGCGGCGCGGUAAGUUGGGUGUGAAAUCCCUCGGCUCAACCGAGGAAUUGCGCUUGAUACUGCCGUGCUCGAGGGAGACAGAGGUGAGCGGAACUUAGGGUGGAGCGGUGAAAUGCGUUGAUAUCCUAAGGAACACCAGUGGCGAAAGCGGCUCACUGGGUCUCUUCUGACGCUGAGGCACGAAAGCUAGGGGAGCGAACGGGAUUAGAUACCCUUGUAGU
rnacentral:rRNA from 1 species